rnacentral:rRNA from 1 species
GACGGGGCCCGCACAAGCGGUGGAGCAUGUGGUUUAAUUCGAUGAUACGCGAGGAACCUUACCUGGGCUCAAAUGUAUGUUGACGUAUUCUGAAAGGGAUACUUCUUCGGACAAUAUACAAGGUGCUGCAUGGUUGUCGUCAGCUCGUGCCGUGAGGUGUCGGGUUAAGUCCCAUAACGAGCGCAACCCCUAUCAUUAGUUGCCAUCAGGUCAAGCUGGGGACUCUAAUGAAACUGCCUACGCAAGUAGUGAGGAAGUGGGGAUGACGUCAAAUCAGCACGGCCCUUACGUCCAGGGCUACACACGUGCUACAAUGGCCGGUACAAAGGGCAGCUACCUGGUGACAGGAUGCUAAUCUCAAAAGCCGGUCUCAGUCCGGAUCGGAGUCUGCAACCCGACUCCGUGAGGCUGGAAUCGCUAGUAAUCGCGCAUCAGCCAUGGCGCGGUGAAUACGUUCCCGGGCCUU